UCGACCAACUUCGCCCUCUUCCCUCUCCUGCACGUGUUGGCGUGCGCUUUUAGGUGAAGCAGAAGCUUUGGCCUUGUUUGUUUUUGUUCUUCGGAGGGGGAUUGCGGUUGCUUCCUCCUGCCCGCCUUCUUUUUUGUGUGUGUGACGCGUGCUUUACUCUGCUACUGCUACCUAACUACCUACCUACUACCAUUCUGGUGCACUGAAGGCGCUCAGCUUUUGUGGGUGUGUUUGCACUGCGCACCUCGCCUUCCCUCCCUCCCUCUCCCCCUCUAGCGCAUUCAUUGUAUUGCUCGCAGACCGAGUGGGAGUGAGGACGAAGGAUGAACGUUGUCGACGACACUGUGGCGGCACUGGGCGACGACGACGCCAUCGCCGAGCAGCAGAACAUGUCUUUCCUCAUGAAACUGCAGGAACUGUACUGCAAGACGGUUCUUUACGAGCAGCUGGAGCAGAUGAUGGGCCACCCCGCCACCCAAGAAGAGAGCGACGGCUACCUUGACGACGUGGAAGGGCUCGUCAAGCUCUACUGCUCCGAGAGGGAGGCGGCGAAGAAAAUGGUGCCGCAAGGUGAGGAGGCCGACGCCGCUGCUCAACGUGAGGAGGUGACGGAGCAGCACAUCCUGCACUCUCUCUCCGUUGCUAUCAACGGCGAGGCCGAGGCAGACGAGCAACCCGACAUACCUGUGUCAAGCAUUCAGCAGCUGUACCACGUCCUCCACGAUUGCCUCACCACGGACACGGUAGAGACAGGGCUCGCUGUCGGGUCAUUGCUGCUGGCCGAUGAUGCCAAACGUAGCGCUGAGGAGGCGGCUCGUCUUGCCUAUCAGCAGCAGCAGCGUCACAUGCACGGCGGCGUUGACACGGCCAGCAUGAACACCUCCACUGCGGAGCGCAAGAAUGCCAUGAAGGUCUCGCCAGAGGAGAUGUUCCGCCUCGCCCAGCACGUCCGCAGCGGUCUUGCCGAUGAAGCGGAGCUGCUCAAAUUGCGCUCCGAGGACAACGAGGAAGAAGGCGGCGGCGCGCAGGACGUGGAGCUGAACGACGAAGAACCUCGCUUCUUGCGCAACAUGGGCUUCUCCUCGAUGCUGCACCGUCGCAUCAACUACCGUGCACCGCUGCCGUCGCAGCAGCUCCGUGACGCCCGCACGCCGCAGCAUCGUCAAGCCAUCUUGGACAGGCUCGCCCAGCGUCAGCAGGGCGACUCGUCAAAGCUGAACAGUAUGGAGGCGGUGGCGCAGAUGCAGGAGAAGAUAAAUAUGGAGCGCCGCGUCAUUGCCCGCAAGGCGCAGCGUACCCAGCAGCAGUUCCGCGAGUACGACUUUGGGGCGACCAUGGGCGGUCGCGAUGAUAGGUCGGUGCUCGACGAGGACCGCUACGGACGGAGAGGCGGGGCGCUUGAAAGCGAGGAGUACUCGGCACAGCCCACCCUUCUGCACUCGGAGCUGAACGCGCUGCCGGAGGAGGGCGGCUUCCGACCACAGGAUAUGCCGACGAAGCUGGCGCCGUGGAUGAAACACAGCUUUGGACGCAAGCCGCGCUUUGGCCUGCCCGAGACUAUGCAGACAAUACAGGAGCAGCGCAUCUCCCUCCCGAUUUACGCGAAGAAGGAGGCUCUUCUGAACUUCGUAGAUGCGCACAGGGUGACCGUACUUGUCGGAGAGACAGGCAGCGGCAAGACCACGCAGAUUCCGCAGUACCUGGCGGAGCACGGGUACGCCGAUCGAGGCAUGAUCGCCUGCACGCAGCCCCGCCGUGUCGCCGCCGAGACGCUUGCCAUGCGCGUCGCUGAGGAGUACGGCUGCCGCCUUGGCGAGGAGGUCGGUUACACCGUUCGCUUCCGCGAUGUCACCUCGUCUCUGACAAAGAUAAAGUACAUGACGGACGGUAUGCUGCUGCGCGAAGCGCUGCUGGACGACAGCUUCCAACGCUACAGCGUCAUCAUCCUCGACGAGGCUCACGAGCGAUCCAUCAGCACCGAUCUGCUCUUCGCCAUCGUGCGGCAGGCGCUGCGGAAGAACGAGGUGCUGAAGGUGAUGGUGACAUCCGCCACCCUCGAGACGGAGAAGUUCUGCGCCUACUUUGGCGCCUCUGAGCCUUUUCGGAUUGAGGGUCGCACGUUCCCCGUGGAGACGUACUACCUCACUGACCCCACCACCGACUACGUGCGAGCCGCCCUGCAGACGGUCAUGAUGAUUCACCUGCAGGAGCCUCCAGGGGACGUCCUUGUCUUUUUCACUGGACAGGAAGAGAUCGAGCUGGGCGGGGAGCAGCUGUUUCGCUGGAUGGAGAUGCUGCGGCGGCAGGUGAGCACGCCGUUGCCUGACUUGAUGGUGCUGCCUCUCACGGCCACCAUGCCGCAGGAGGUGCAGUCGAAGGUGUUCGAGCCCACCCCACCCGGGUGCCGCAAGGUCGUACUGGCCACGAACGUCGCAGAGACAUCGAUCACUAUUGCCAACCUCUACUACGUUGUUGACAGCGGCUUCUGCAAGCAGAACAUCUUCGACGCCAAGCACGGCAUCGAUCAGCUUAAGGUGAUGCCGGUUUCUCAAGCGCAGGCGAAGCAGCGCUCCGGUCGUGCGGGGCGUAUCGGGCCUGGAAAGUGCUACCGCAUGUACACGGAGAAGCAGUUCACGACGGACAUGGUGCCGGAGACGGUGCCAGACAUUAUGCGGACAAGCCUCUUCCACGUUACCCUGCAGCUGAAGGCCAUGGGGCUCGAUCUCCUUAACCUCGAGCUCAUGGACUGCCCUCCGAAGGGGGCCAUUGUGUCAGCGCUAGAGAAGCUGCGAUACCUUGAGGCGCUCGACGACGACGGACUGCUGACCCCGCUAGGGAGCCGCAUGGCGCAGCUGUCCAUCGACCCCUCGCAGAGCAAAACGCUGCUCACUGCGGUGGACUUGGGUUGCAGCGAGCCGGUUCUCACAAUUGUGUCGAUGCUAGCAGUGCAGAAGCGUGGCGUCUUCUACCGCCCUCGAGAUCAGCAAGAUGCGUCUGACGCGGCGCGACGCCAGUUCAUGCAACCGGAGGGUGAUCAGCUCACACUCAUGGCGGUCUAUGACGCCUGGGUGGAGAACGGCAUGUCCGAGGACUGGAGCAAGCACAACUUCCUGAAGCACCGCAUGCUGGUCGAGGCGCGCGACACACGCGACCAGCUCAAGGAGAUGCUGGCGCGGCGCAACCAGCACAUAUCACACGAGAAUGACACAAACCUCGACGAGGUACGCAAGUCCAUCACGGCCGGGUACUUCUUCAACGCGGCGAGGCGUGUCGACUCGCACACCCGCUCGUACGUCACACUGUCCGACAGGCGUGAGGUUUACGUGCACCCCUCCUCGGUGCUCAUCGACGACCCACCCAAGUACGUUCUGUACGACGAUCUCCGCAUGACGAAGCGGGAGUACAUGACGGAGCUGCUGGCGAUCGAGCCGAAGUGGUUGGUGGAGCUGGCGCCAGCCUUUUACGCAAGACCGAAGGAAGGGCGUCUCACUAAGGAGCAAGCCGCUGAGCGGUUCACACCGAUCCUAAAGUCGUGGGAAACAGGCAGCUCCUGGCGUAUCUCACGUCUCAAGAAGCAGCGGCGUUGAAGAGGGGGGGAGGCUGCGCACAACCGUGAGCCGACAGGACUCUUGCAGGGACGUCGACGUGGCGCACUGAAGUGGUGGAGCUUUGUGCCUGUGGCGUGCGUGCGUGCAUGGUGCGCCCCCCCCGCGUGCUUCCUCCUUGUCUAUUCGUCUUUGGUGCGCGCAUACUAUAACUCUCGCAGACUCACGUAUUCGUGGGUGUGCAUGAGAUCGUCAUGCGGGGUGGGGACUUGCCCAAUGUGGUGAUAGUGGUGGAGAGGUGGCUGAAGGCCAACUUCGCCGGUGAAGCAACGACGGCACCGCAGCAUAUAAUUUGCGAAAUACAAAAUACAAA
rnacentral:misc_RNA from 1 species